UACAGAGGGUGCGAGCGUUGUUCGGAAUUAUUGGGCGUAAAGGGCGCGUAGGCGGUGCGGUAAGUCACCUGUGAAAUCUCCUGGCUCAACUGGGAGCUUGCAGGCGAAACUGCCGUGCUGGAGUGUGGGAGAGGUGCGUGGAAUUCCUGGUGUAGCGGUGAAAUGCGUAGAGAUCGGGAGGAACACCCGUGGCGAAGGCGGCCAUCUGGACCAGCACUGACGCUGAGGCACGAAAGCGUGGGGAGCAAACAGG
rnacentral:rRNA from 1 species